GGUUAAGUUCGAUGAACAUCACGUGGAAAAGGCACAAGCAAUCGUCGAUUCUUUGGAGAAUAAUAUCGCCCGAACCCGUAACAGAUGGCUCAACUGAUUCUAGGAGGAAGCAUUUCAAGGGUCACACGGUGCUUUGGAUGAGACUUAUAU